GGGAACGAACACACGGGUCCAGUGCAAACCUGAACAUCAAGGCGAGCCUCGAGUUCUGCGUCGAGUCUGUGCUGCAACAGAGACAGCCUGCCUCCGCGGACAUUCCGCACACUUGAACCAGCUGUUGCCGCUUGACUUUGUGCACCUGGCUCAGCAGCUUCCUCUUGGCUCAUGUCCGCAUCGACUUCGGGAUCGUCCAAGCAUAACCUAUCUUCACCAACCAAGGAUGGUGUGCAAGAGCUCUGCAGCAUUGACUGCAUAGAUGCUAUGUCGGUUUGGCUGAGUUCUUCUGUUCGGUCUGCAAUAAAAGUGUUGUUUCAUCCAUGAAAGACAA